GCCGUCAAGCCCGCGCCGCCGCUCGCUGUGGGGCGGCCCCGGGCGUGGCGGGCGACGUGGCCCCGGGGCCUCCUGAGUUGAAGGCAGCUGCCCCCAGGAGCGUUUUUCAGCUGCGAAGUGUGUUGAACUAACUCCACGGCGUACGCUUUGUGCUUUCAGUCAAGGCAGUGCUCAGCUGAAAGGUUGACAAAACGGUGGCCGGAUGCGAUUGAUUUCAUGCAGUAAUUAAUUAACAAGUCUUCUGAGUCUUCGGGGGGAGACACCUGUGGCUGGAAGUCUGCCGUUCUGAUUGGCAGUGCCUGAGACACACAUCGGCCUCAUUGUCCCCCUGCAACAACCUAACAGAUUGUAGGUGUUGCAUCGUUUGGCUCAGAUAAUAGUGUUCAUAGUUAUGUAUUUCAAACCCGACCCCAAAACUGCCUAGUUUUCUAGUUGCUGAAGAGAACGAAGGCGUCAACUUC